GACGUAGGAUGCGAGCGUUGUCCGGAUUUAUUGGGCGUAAAGAGUUCGUAGGUGGUUUGUUAAGUCUGAUGUUAAAGACCGAGGCUCAACCUCGGAAAUGCAUUGGAUACUGGCAGACUCGAGUGUAGUAGAGGCAAGCGGAAUUCCAGGUGUAGCGGUGAAAUGCGUAGAUAUCUGGAAGAACACCAGUGGCGUAAGCGGCUUGCUGGGCUAUAACUGACACUGAGGUAGACGAACG
rnacentral:rRNA from 1 species